rnacentral:sRNA from 1 species
ACUAUGGUAUUUGAGUGAUAGGUCGAGUAACAGAUAGAAAGUAUAACAUCGAUACUCGACUGCACAGUCUGUUGCCAGGUAGUAACUAUGCAGUCGAGUGGUGGUGAUGGUGAUACUCGACUUCCAGGUACAGUGAUGAGGUCGUGUAGUGGUCUGGCAAUGAAGGUGAAGACACUCGACCUCGUGGUCGAGUGAUGUGAUCGAGUGAUGGUCAGGUGAUGGAGAUGAAGACGCUCGACCUCGUGGUCGAGUGGUGAGGUGAAGUUGUGAUGUCUUCUACUCGACCUGGGGGUCGAGUGGUCGAGUGGUGAGGUGAAGUUGUGAUGUCUUCUACUCGACCUGGGGGUCGAGUGGUCUCUUGAGAUCUUGAAGCUCCUACUCGACCUCUGGGUCGAGUGGUUUUGUCAUGAUCAGGUCCGCUUCUUCCAGAUAGCUCGUCAACAGCUCCAAAUCACCUGAAAUCAACGCAAAUAUGCAACAUGCAUGCAAAUCUAUCCUAAACAUGUAAAGUGAUGACAAAUGAUGAGAAAUGGUAUAAAACAGUGAUGAUAUGAUGCUAAAGUGAUGACAAAUGGAUGCUCAAAACAUGCAAAAUACACACUUAUCAACUCCCCCAAACUUAGUCUUUGCUUGCCCUCAAGCAAACAAUCAAGAACAAGCUGGAGGUGAGGUUUGAAAGCGGGGACUCAGAGCCAAAGCACCAGAUAAACCAGAUGAAAUCAAUAUCCAAGUUGAAAGUUCUAAGCUGCAAGAUCGAAUUCUACUUAAAAACGUUAGCCAUGCCUCAUCAUCAAUCAAUCCGACUCAUAUGCUCGACCUACACAAGUUUUCAAAUCUACCAAUCCCUUUAACAUUCAUUAGUUCUGGAACGUGAAUCAAGCAAUGCAUCAUCAAAGAACUCAUUUGGCUAAGGUAAAAGGUCAAGAGACAAAGAUGGUCCCUCACAGAAUAGGCUUCACUAACAGGGGAUCUCUCAAAAAAUGAUUAAGCUUUAGUAGAAUGCUAAAGGUAAGUCCCAAGCUAUGCAUACAGAGAUAAGAUCCCAUCUACCCAGAGUACAUCAAAUGAAGCUCUAACGGUAAUUCCACCUCCAAUCCCAAUAUAAGAACUAAACUCUACCCUUUGCAUUCAUGAAUCUUUUAAGCCAUUUUUCUAAUCAUUCUUUUCUAUUCUCUUAACUCUAGGAGAAGCUUUCUCAACACUUUGAUACAUCUAGCGGAUUUGGAUUUCUUUAACAACUAAGGUUCCUGUUUUUAACAUUUUAAAACCCAGGGCUUUUGCCCAUCUUCAAUAGCUAACAAGAACUCUUUCUUUUCUUUUCAAAUCCCAAAACCUUUACUAGACUUUUUCUGCUUCUUUAGCUUACUUCACCUAGAGUCUUUUACCUUUUCUUAUCAAUGAAUCAACCCCUUUUU